UACGUUCCCGGGGCCUUGUACACACCGCCCGUCAAGCCAUGGAAGCUGGGGGGUGCCUGAAGUCGGUGACCGCAAGGAGCUGCCUAGGGUAAAACUGGUAACUAGGGCUAAGUCGUAACAAGGUACCC
rnacentral:rRNA from 1 species